GAUGAACGCUGGCGGCGUGCCUAAUACAUGCAAGUCGAACGGACGGACGAGACGCUUGCUUCUCUGAUGUUAGCCGCGGACGGGUGUGUCACACGUGGAUCCCCUACCUAUCAGACUGGGAACACUUCGGAACACCGGCGCUAAUCCCGGAUGAUCUUUUGAACCGCAUUGUUCAAAGGUGAAUUUCGGUCUUGCUGUCUCUUCUAGCUGGAUACGGGCUGCAUUAGCUGGUAGGGACGGUUAUGGCUUACCAAGGCAACGAUGCCUAGCCGACGUGACAGGGGGAUCGCCCACACGGGAAGGGAGACACGGACCAGACGCCUGCGGGAGGCAGCAGUAGCGAAUCGGCCGCAAUGGGCGGAAGCCUGACGGAGCAACGCGGAGUGAGUGAUGAAGGCCUUCGGAGCGUAAAACUCUGUUAUGAGUGAAGAACAGAUGUGGAAGUAACUGUGCACAGCUUGACGGUACCUAAUCAGAAAGCAACGGCUAACUACGUG
rnacentral:rRNA from 1 species